UGCUCCUUUAAGUUAGCGGCGGACGGGUGAGUAACACGUGGGCAACCUGCCUGUAAGACUGGGAUAACUUCGGGAAACCGGAGCUAAUACCGGAUAACAUAUAAGACCACAUGGUCUUAUAUUGAAAGAUGGCCUCGGCUAUCACUUACAGAUGGGCCCGCGGCGCAUUAGCUAGUUGGUGAGGUAACGGCUCACCAAGGCAACGAUGCGUAGCCGACCUGAGAGGGUGAUCGGCCACACUGGGACUGAGACACGGCCCAGACUCCUACGGGAGGCAGCAGUAGGGAAUCUUCCGCAAUGGACGAAAGUCUGACGGAGCAACGCCGCGUGAACGAUGAAGGCCUUCGGGUCGUAAAGUUCUGUUGUUAGGGAAGAACAAGUACCGUUCGAAUAGGGCGGUACCUUGACGGUACCUAACCAGAAAGCCACGGCUAACUACGUGCCAGCAGCCGCGGUAAUACGUAGGUGGCAAGCGUUAUCCGGAAUUAUUGGGCGUAAAGCGCGCGCAGGUGGUUUCUUAAGUCUGAUGUGAAAGCCCACGGCUCAACCGUGGAGGGUCAUUGGAAACUGGGGAACUUGAGUGCAGAAGAGGAAAGUGGAAUUCCAAGUGUAGCGGUGAAAUGCGUAGAGAUUUGGAGGAACACCAGUGGCGAAGGCGACUUUCUGGUCUGUAACUGACACUGAGGCGCGAAAGCGUGGGGAGCGAACAGGAUUAGAUACCCUGGUAGUCCACGCCGUAAACGAUGAGUGCUAAGUGUUAGAGGGUUUCCGCCCUUUAGUGCUGCAGCUAACGCAUUAAGCACUCCGCCUGGGGAGUACGGUCGCAAGACUGAAACUCAAAGGAAUUGAC
rnacentral:rRNA from 1 species